GGGCCCGUAGCUCAGUGGAUAGAGCGUUCGCCUCCGGAGCGAAAGGUCAAGGGUUCGAAUCCCUCCGGGCCCA
rfam:Bifidobacterium gallicum DSM 20093 = LMG 11596 strain DSM 20093 B_gallicum-1.0.1_Cont4.1, whole genome shotgun sequence.